GGGUGUGGGGUGUCUGUGUGUUUCCGGGCUGGGCCUGGGGUGGAAGUGGUGGGGGAAGCUUUGCUCCCGUGAGAUCCGAUACGCCCUUAUCCACCGGGACAUGUGCACUGGAUUCAGCUGGAGGGGCCCUUGCAGACUGUUGCUGGUUCGGCCGUGUGUGCCCACCCUGUUGGGUUUCUCCUGUUCUCUGCAUUAACUGCGGCUUCUGCCCAGUUUAAACAGAAGAUUAUUGAACUGGAAGCAGCAGCCGAUUGCUGUUUGCAGUAUCUUUACAGCUCCAAGUGGCCCACAGACAAUUUGUGCAAGAUGGCUGCAGGACACCAUCCCUGGUGCUCCCCUCAGAGGCCCAGGGUAGGAGGAAGCAAGGCCAUCUCCUCCGGGGCUCUCUCCAAAGAGCCAGGAGGGUUUUCUUAGGAGCAGCCUGGUAAACCUCUCGUUUCUCAUUGGCUGGAAGCCACGUUUCCAUGGAGCAGAGGCGGGACCUCCUGCUCGAGGAACCCAGGCCUCAAUCCUCGGAUCCCUCCUCUCUGGCUAACCCCCAUCCCUUGCAGACGCCAUCCAGACUCAGGGCUUUAAAUACCAUCCAUAUGUUGAUGAAGCCAGAAUUCGUGUUGCCAGCGCUCAGGUGGCCCUGAACUCUAUUCCAACCGCCUGCUCAACAUUUCAUCUUGGAUUUUAAGAAGUAGCUCAAAGACAGCAGAUCCGAAGCUGGGCUCUCAAUGCUUCUCCCUGCGAGCACCAGAGUGAUACUGGCUGGAUACUGGAUACAGAUGAGAUCGUUCCUUUGCUCACACCCUCCGAGAGUAAAAGCUAAAGUCUGUA
rnacentral:lncRNA from 1 species